rnacentral:lncRNA from 1 species
GGAGAUUAGGAAUCAACGAGAUCAUUUUCUUUUCAAUAAUUAUAAUCAUACAAACAAAUUUGAGUCUGAAAAUUAGGAACCACCAGCAUUGGCUACAACUAGAACUGAUAAGGUUCCAAAUUAGUGACAUAAUUUAGCCGAAUCAUGAUGAAAUGUACAAUAAAUCGCAAAGAUACCGCUAAUUAAGCCGCAUUGUCACCAAGACAAUGGGCAUGUUCCUCUCUCUCUACAUAAUAAUCUUCAAUCAGGAAGCUCAGAUUUUGCAGUUAUCAUGGCCUGCAGAUAAUAACACCAGGGAAGUUAAUUUAUGUAAAGAAUGAAUAAAUAGAUGUUCUUAAACAGAAAAUGGUUAUGCUAAUUAUGAAUAAAAUGAAAGUGUGAUGAGACUGACUUGGAUUAGUGGUGGUAAUGACACCGGUGUUGGAGAAAUCACAGUUGAAAUCAUGGCGGCCAUUGGCUUGGUAGUAGGCAUUCAUGGCGUAGGUGGCAAGUGCCUUCACGUUGUUGGGGGCAUAGCAUACUCCACCAGGUUGAAUAGGUUUACAAUCAAUUCCUUGGCUGCAGACAUAGUUUAUGUUUGCUUGUAAAGCUGCAUCGUUAGCAUCUGCCUUUGGCACGCACCAUUUUCCACCUCCGGGUGCCGGUGCAGGACCAGGUUUUGUCGACGGUGCAGGUCCAGGUUUUGUCGACGGUGCAGGUCCAGGAUUUACAGGUGCAAUAUUCUGUAUUAUGGCAAGAAAUUGAAUAAAUUUAGUAAAAUAAUAAUAAUAAUAAAAAUAUGAUAUAAUGCACAAGCCAUGUGAAAGAGAGAGCGGUGGAUAGAUUCUGCCUGAUAAAGCAGGGGUGGUGUGGGGCAGAGGAAGGUGGAUACACCUCUAUCUCAACCGUUUGAUUGGGUGGUAUUUAUAUUAUAAAGCGCAAAGAGAUUCAUAAUCAACGGUUGGUUUUUGAAGGAUGAAAAGGACAAGCGAUAAACCUG